rnacentral:rRNA from 1 species
UACGUAGGUGGCGAGCGUUGUCCGGAUUUACUGGGCGUAAAGAGCGCGCAGGCGGUCGUACAAGUCGCGUGUGAAAGCCCCCGGCUCAACUGGGGAGGGUCACGCGAUACUGUUCGACUCGAAGGCAGGAGAGGGAAGUGGAAUUCCCGGUGUAGUGGUGAAAUGCGUAGAUAUCGGGAGGAACACCAGUGGCGAAGGCGACUUCCUGGCCUGUUCUUGACGCUGAGGAGCGAAAGCGUGGGGAGCGAACAGG